CAACGCCGCACAUGAAAUGUGUUGAUGGGUCAAUAUAAUAAGACUUGUUGACGGCUCGGCGGGGACCGGAGCUGGAUGAGCAACAAACGGUUCAGCAACAAAAGCCUCGUCACAGGUAUCGGUGCGGCUCGGCGAGCGGAGAGGUUCCUCAAUCCGGACGCAGAGAGAGAGGAUUGUUUUGGCUUCGCGGGCUCUGAAAGAUAAAUGAAGAAACCAGCUCUGUGAAAACCCUCGAGAACAAUGAUGGAAAUGAGAUUGGAAAAGUUGGGGCCGCGUACGAGCUGCCGAGGUGGAGGCUUCUGGCUCAGAGUCGGAGAGAAAAUACAUUUGGAAGGGAAAAAAAACAGCUUUUGAUUUGGAGAAUCAAGAAAAUGUCCCUAAUAGAUAUAACCCCCGUGGAACCUCCCCGGAUAAAUACUGCUUUCUGCGUAACAAGUUUUGUGAAAUUAUAUGUUUAAAUAUGCAAAUGAGGCAUUAUUUUACGUAAAUGUGUCGCAAAUAGACAGAGUAGUAAAAAAAAAAGCACCUACUUGUGUAUUCAGGACAUAUAUUACUUGCUUUUAAUGGUUUUUAUAACUUACUUUUGACAGAGUGUAUUACUUACUCUUAAUGGUUUUUAUUACUUACUUUUAAUGGUGUGUAUUACUUACUCUUAAUGGAUUUUAAUACUUUUGAAUGGUAUGUUCUUCUUAAAAUUAAAAAGAUGUUCUGUAACUUUG